rnacentral:miRNA from 1 species
ACACAGAAACUCCAAGCCCAC